rnacentral:lncRNA from 1 species
AUGACUCCCCUGACUGCUCCUCACCCCACGAGGCACCAUUUGGGAUCCACUCACUGUAUAGAAAUGACUCUUGUGUUCAAUGUUUUGUUCUUGUUUUUUUUUAUUGUCCAGGUCAACGUCAACAUGAGCAUCUACACAACGCCGUCCCCUGCGAAUCCCUCGUCAGCUGGGACGCCUUCGUUUCCAGAGCUUGUGACCAAGAUAGGUGCAGCAGCCACAGACCAUGGAGACUGGGCCGCCUUAAUUGGAGGUAUCGUCAGUGCAGUGUUGUUGGUAAUGAUUUGUACAAUAGCAGUGAUGCUGUGGUGCCUGUCCAGGCAAAAAGGCUCGUACGUCACCAACGAGAACGAGGAUGAUGAUGAUGAUAUUGACAACAAUGAUGAUGAGUCUGUCGCUUCUGAUGCGGCACUUCAAGCCAAAGAACCUCUCAAACUCAAAGGUCAAAGAUGCCACCUGCUGUUAGAAGUCAUUUUUACAUCGCAACAGGCUUCCUAUCAGGUCCAUUUAUUACAAACAGCUUGUUGA